rnacentral:rRNA from 1 species
UACGUAGGGUGCGAGCGUUAAUCGGAAUUACUGGGCGUAAAGCGUGCGCAGGCGGUUUGUUAAGUCUGAUGUGAAAGCCCCGGGCUCAACUUGGGAAUGGCAUUGGAAACUGGCUGGCUAGAGUGUGGCAGAGGGGGGUGGAAUUCCGCGUGUAGCAGUGAAAUGCGUAGAGAUGCGGAGGAACACCGAUGGCGAAGGCAGCCCCCUGGGCUGACACUGACGCUCAGGCACGAAAGCGUGGGGAGCAAACAGG